rnacentral:rRNA from 1 species
AUGACAGUGCCAAGCCGUUCGAUGCCCCAGCUCGGGAGGUGCCCGUCACAGCUUUCCCCCCACCUCCCAUUGCAUGUUCAUACUCGCCUUCCCCUUUUCCGCCUGGUUGCCGGAGGCGGUGCGAUCGCCACGAGUACCGCCGCGAUCGCCCGAACCGCCAGAGGCGUGGCCGAUGGAGAGCGCGGUGGAGCCGUCCGAGCGCCCGUCGGCCCGAGCGUGCUCGUUCUGCGUGAUCUCCUCAAGGAGGAGACGCGACCGGGCCUGGGCGAACGUGGGGAACGGCACCUGCAGGGGGAGCACCGUUGCGAGCACAUGCAACCGCCAGCUGAGACCGUGGAUGAACUGGAGCGUCAGGGUCCUGUCGGUGAUGGGCUCCUCGACGUCAUCGAGCGCGGCCGCCAGAGACUGCAGACGGCGGGCGUUCUCGGCAACAGUCAGGUCCCCCUGGACCGUGCUGUGGAAUUCCGCCGAGAGGUGAAUCGCACGGCCGGCCUGAUUGUCGAGGAAGAAUUCGCCAUGUCCGACCUUGGCCCGCUGCAUCACUUUCUUGGUAUUAAUGUCACUUCCACUGCCGCCGGUCUCUUCCUGUCGCAAGAGCAGUAUGCCUUGGAGAUUCUUGAUCGAGCAGUGAUGCUUAAUUGCAAACCCUUACCCACGCCAGUAGACACACACGCAAAACUCCCAGCUGAUGCUGGCCCUCUAUUUCAUGAUCCUUCUCUGUACAGGAGCCUUGCCGGUGCCCUACAGUACAUAACACUCACACGGCCUGAUCUUUCUUAUGGUGUUCAACAAUGUUGUCUCUUCAUGCACGCUCCGCGUGACUCGCACUUCCAGUUGCUAAAGCGCAUCCGGCGCUACCUUCGUGGGACUACACAUCUCGGCUUGCAGUUCCAUCGUUCCACCUCCACCGAGCUCGUCGCAUAUUCCGACGCCGACUGGGCAGGGUGUCCCGACACACGCCGCUCCACCUCGGGGUAUUGUGUGUUCCUUAGCGGCAACCUUGUGUCGUGGUCCUCGAAGCGGCAACACACCGUCUCGCGCUCCAGUGCGGAGGCUGAGUACCGGGCUGUCGCGCACGCCGUUGCCGAGGCAGUCUGGUUGCGACAACUCCUUGGCGAGCUCCACCAGGCUCCCACGCGUGCUACCGUGGUCUAUUGUGACAACGUGAGCGCGAUGUACAUGUCAACUAAUCCUGUGCAACACCAGCGUACGAAGCACGUGGAGAUUGACUUGCACUUCGUCCGGGAGCGUGUGUCGCUCGGCGAGUUCGCGUCCUCCAUGUCCCGACGAGCUCCCAGUUUGCCGACGUCUUCACCAAGGGGCUACCGACGAGCAUCUUCCUCGACUUCCGGUCCAACCUCAACAUUCGGGAGCCCCAUGUUUCGGCUGCGGGGGGCUGUUGGAAGUCUACUACACGACCUGAUGGACAACGGCCUUGACCAGGUCCUUCGGAUAGUUCAGGAGGUGCGUGCACUACGUGCGCACGUCCACCACGCAUGCAUGACAUGCUCGGCCACGGCCAUUGUACACGAUCUCUCCCUCACCCCCUUGUACCUCUCCGCAUGUAUAAAUAACCUUGCGAGAUAUGAAUACAUGUGUGCAUAG